CCACAUGGAAUCACUGGGAGGGUGACAUCUGGAGAGAGCAUGAAAGCUCCUCACCCCCUCCCCAUACCAUGCUCCAUAUACUUCUUCAUCCAGCUGUUCACCUUUUUGUCCAUCAUUUGAUGGUCUACAGCUAACUACUACACAUCUUCCAGACUGUGAAAAUAUGCUUAAUACAUCCAUCUGAAACUGGCAUCUUUAAAGAAGGAAACUGACACUGUCUGAUUUUAAAGUUAAACACUCAACUCUCAAGCACCUAGAAGGCCUGCCAGAGUCCUGAUUGGAGGCCUGGCUUGCCUUUAUGAAAAUACUUCUCUCUGAGACUUAACUCAGGAUUGCCCUUCUUCCUUCCUUUGCCCAAGGCUCUAGCUGGUGCCAUCGAUUGCAUGAAGCCUUCCCUGGCUAGCUUUAUCCACAACUGACUGAGAAUACCUACAAACCAUAAUGCCUCUAUCACUCAUGUGAUGACUGGCAGUUAGUGCCCUGACUCUGAGCUAACUUUUCAGUGUUUAUAUCCAGUGUUUUCAAAUAAACUAUA